UUGUUGGUAAGGUAAAAGCUUACCAAGGCUUCGAUCAGUAGCUGGUCUGAGAGGACGACCAGCCACACUGGGACUGAGACACGGCCCAGACUCCUACGGGAGGCAGCAGUGGGGAAUUUUGGACAAUGGGGGCAACCCUGAUCCAGCCAUGCCGCGUGAGUGAAGAAGGCCUUCGGGUUGUAAAGCUCUUUCAGCCGGAACGAAACGGUUACGGAUAAUACCCGUGACUACUGACGGUACCGGAAGAAGAAGCACCGGCUAACUACGUGCCAGCAGCCGCGGUAAUACGUAGGGUGCAAGCGUUAAUCGGAAUUACUGGGCGUAAAGCGUGCGCAGGUGGUUUUGUAAGUCAGAUGUGAAAGCCCCGGGCUCAACCUGGGAACUGCGUUUGAAACUACAAGACUAGAGUGUGGCAGAGGGGGGUGGAAUUCCGCGUGUAGCAGUGAAAUGCGUAGAGAUGUGGAGGAACACCGAUGGCGAAGGCAGCCCCCUGGGUUAACACUGACACUCAGGCACGAAAGCAUGGGGAGCAAACAGGAUUAGAUACCCUGGUAGUCCAUGCCCUAAACGAUGUCAACUAGUUGUCGGGCCUUUACGGGCUUGGUAACGUAGCUAACGCGUGAAGUUGACCGCCUGGGGAGUACGAUCGCAAGAUUAAAACUCAAAUGAAUUGACGGGGACCCGCACAAGCGGUGGAUUAUGUGGAUUAAUUCGAUGCAACGCGAAAAACCUUACCUACCCUUGACAUGUAUCGAAGCCCGCAGAAAAGCGGGGGUGCCCGAAAGGGAACGAUAACACAGGUGCUGCGUGGCUGUCGUCAGCUCGUGUCGUGAGAUGUUGGGUUAAGUCCCGCAACGAGCGCAACCCUUGUCAUUAAUUGCCAUCAUUUAGUUGGGCACUUUAAUGAGACUGCCGG
rnacentral:rRNA from 1 species